GCGGCGGUGGCGGAAGUGGGAGCGGGCCUGGAGUCUUGGCCAUAAAGCCUGAGGCGGCGGCAGCGGCGGAGUUGGCGGCUUGGAGAGCUCGGGAGAGUUCCCUGGAACCAGAACUUGGACCUUCUCGCUUCUGUCCUCCGUUUAGUCUCCUCCUCGGCGGGAGCCCUCGCGACGCGCCCGGCCCGGAGCCCCCAGCGCAGCGGCCGCGUUUGAAGGAUGACCUCUAGGAAGAAAGUGUUGCUGAAGGUUAUCAUCCUGGGAGAUUCUGGGUAAAGUCGGGAAGACAUCACUCAUGAACCAGUAUGUGAAUAAGAAAUUCAGCAAUCAGUACAAAGCCACAAUAGGAGCUGACUUUCUGACCAAGGAGGUGAUGGUGGAUGACAGGCUAGUCACAAUGCAGGUAAGCACAUGUCUUGGCUGUGCUGACCAGGCCUUGAUAGUUCAUUUAGUCUUAAUCUUUCCUCAUGCAUAGACAUUUUCCUUCCCUGUUCUUCAAAUCUUAUUAUCUUAUUUGUAGAUAAUUGGCUGAUACUCAGUUAAAUUUGAAUUUCAGAUCAAUAGUGAAUACUUUUUUAGUAUACUUCUAGUGUAUCUCAGAUACGACUUGCUAAGACACACUAAAAAAUUCUUCUUAAAAAAAAACUCAGAUUUAUCCUUUCUUGUUUUUUGUUGUUUUUGGUUUUGUUGUUUGCUAAAUUUGGCAACCUGCAGGUCUCUGUCUUGUGCCUCUCUUGACAUCCUUGCCCAGUGCUUUAGGUAAACAUCUUUGUCUCACCUCAGUAGUGAGACAUAAACUUUAUUUUUCUGACUUCCUAUUUCAUACGUAACUUCAAGAGUUGUGUGUCUAUUGAGCCAAUCUUUUUUUUAUGUAUCAGCUUAUUAAUCUUUCAAGGGUUCCCUUUCAACAGUUAGGAUAAGAUACAGAUUCUUUCAUAUGACUUGUUGAAAAGCCUUCACAUUCUGGCUAUAAACUAUUAUUCCCUUUUUUUCCCCCAUUGAGUCAUUUUGUUUGUAUACAUGUAUUAACAUCCCUAGAAAAGAAACCCCUGAAGGAUGGAUACCUUGAGCCCAGGAGUUUGAGCCUGCAGUGAGCUGUGACUGCUCCAUUAUACUCCAGCCUGGGUGAUGGAGUGAGACCCUGUCUCUAAAUUU
rnacentral:lncRNA from 10 species